UACGUAGGGGGCUAGCGUUGUCCGGAAUUACUGGGCGUAAAGGGUGCGUAGGUGGUUUCUUAAGUCAGAGGUGAAAGGCUACGGCUCAACCGUAGUAAGCCUUUGAAACUGGGAAACUUGAGUGCAGGAGAGGAGAGUGGAAUUCCUAGUGUAGCGGUGAAAUGCGUAGAUAUUAGGAGGAACACCAGUUGCGAAGGCGGCUCUCUGGACUGUAACUGACACUGAGGCACGAAAGCGCGGGGAGCAAACAGG
rnacentral:rRNA from 1 species